rnacentral:rRNA from 1 species
AGUGAACGCUGGCGGUAGGCCUAACACAUGCAAGUCGAACGGCAGCACAUUAUGCGCUUGCUCUUACGGGUGGCGAGUGGCGGACGGGUGAGGAAUACAUCGGCAUCUUCUUUUUCGUGGGGGAUAACGUAGGGAAACUUCCGCUAAUACCUCAUACGACCUAAGGGUGAAAUCAGGGGAUCUUCGGACCUUUGGCGAUUGAAUGAGCCGAGGUGGGAUUAGCUAGUUGGCGGGGGAAGGGCCAACCAAGGCGACCAUCCGUACCUGAUCUGCGGGGAGGAACACCAAAACGGGAACGGAGCCACGGCCCAGACUCCUCGGGGAGGAAGCAGUGGGGAAUAUUGGACAAUGGGCGAAAGCCUGAUCCAGCAAUCCCGCGUGGGUGAAGAAGGCCUUCGGAUUGUAAAGUCCGUUUGUUGGGAAAGAAAAGCAGCAGGUUAAUACCCCGAUGUUCUGACGGUACCCAAAGAAUAAGCACCGGCUAACUUCGUG